rnacentral:rRNA from 1 species
UCUGUACACAAGCUAUCACUUCAGGAUGAGCCCGCGGCCCAUCAGCUAGUUGGCGGGGUAAAGGCCCACCAAGGCAACGACGGGUAGCUGGUCUGAGAGGACGAUCAGCCACACUGGAACUGAGACACGGUCCAGACUCCUACGGGAGGCAGCAGUGGGGAAUCUUGCGCAAUGGGCGAAAGCCUGACGCAGCAACGCCGCGUGUGUGAUGAAGGUCUUCGGAUCGUAAAGCACUGUCGCGAGGGACGAAUAAGGGGCGAGCUAACAUCUCGUUCCGAUGACGGUACCUC